rnacentral:rRNA from 1 species
CCUACGGGUGGCUGCAGUGAGGAAUAUUGGUCAAUGGACGAGAGUCUGAACCAGCCAAGUAGCGUGAAGGAUGACUGUCCUAUGGGUUGUAAACUUCUUUUAUAUGGGAAUAAAAUGUUCCACGUGUGGGAUUUUGUAUGUACCAUAUGAAUAAGGAUCGGCUAACUCCGUGCCAGCAGCCGCGGUAAUACGGAGGAUCCGAGCGUUAUCCGGGUUUAUUGGGUUUAAAGGGAGCGUAGGUGGAUUGUUAAGUCAGUUGUGAAAGUUUCGGGCUCAACCGUAAAAUUGCAGUUGAAACUGGCAAUCUUGAGUAAAGUAGAGGUGGGCGGAAUUCGUGGUGUAGCGGUGAAAUGCGUAGAUAUCACGAAGAACUCCGAUUGCGAAGGCAGUUCACUGGACUGCAACUGACACUGAGGCUCGAAAGUGUGGGUAUCAAACAGGAUUAGAUACCCUUGUAGUC